rnacentral:rRNA from 1 species
AUGACGUUGCGGGCGACGAGCGUCUUGCCGGACUCGUUGCGGAUGCGGAGGGAGAAGGGCGCCUGCAGGCGGUGGUUGGAGUCGAGGCGCCAGAUGGAGCCCCACGACUCGCGCAUCCGCGUCCACCGCCCGCCUCCCCCUCCCCGGCGGCCGGACUCCAUGAGGUCCACCUGCACCACGUCGCCGUCGCCGUUCUCGUACUCCACCAGGAUCGCCAUGUACACCGCGUUGGACCCCUCCUCCACGUGGAACCCCACCUUGAGCCCCGGGAACUCGGGAGGGCAGUGGUAG